rnacentral:rRNA from 1 species
GACGUAGGGGGCAAGCGUUGUCCGGAUUUAUUGGGCGUAAAGAGCGUGUAGGCGGCUUUACAGGUCCGUUGUGAAAACUCGAGGCUCAACCUCGAGACGCCGGUGGAAACCGUAAAGCUAGAGUCCGGAAGAGGAGAGUGGAAUUCCUGGUGUAGCGGUGAAAUGCGCAGAUAUCAGGAAGAACACCCGUGGCGAAGGCGGCUCACUGGCCCGGUACUGACGCUGAGGUGCGAAAGCGUGGGGAGCAAACAGG